AAAUUAGCUUUAGCAGAGAAAGGUAAAACAAGACAAUAAAUAAGACAUGAAUAAGACAUUGCCAUAAAUAUAGAAUAUUUGUCAUUUAUACAUAUGCGUUUUACCAUUUUGGUGUGGUUUGUGUGGGUGCAACAUCCGUGACGGAGCCUAUAGAAAAUGCUGGAUGAAGAGCCUGCCUGUGCCAGUGCCAGCCCCUGGGGCCUCUGUCCCCUGCCUCUGUGGCUCUCCCUCCAUGGGGAAAUGUGAUUACAUGUGUAUGAGUGGUAGGUGCUGAGCAGAGAGCGGCUGACACCCGGGAGGCACACUUUGCCACCUCCAUGUAAGCCUCUUGUCCAAACAAGUCAGAUCUGGGGUUGAGGCAAGACACCCCAAAUUGUCUCUCUCAGUGUGACCCUGUCAAUCAAUGAGGAUGUCGGUUACCUCCGGAGUAACAACACAGAAAUAGCCAUCAUUACAAAGAGGAGAAAAUUACAAAGAGGAGAAAAAUACAACCAUGAUAUGAUUUGGGCAGAACAGAACAUCAGAUUCCUCAGUGGGCUAUAGAGGCAUUCUCUUACAUUCAUGUUGCUGCUGACAGAGAGAGAAUGCCAGAAGCAGAAGCCUUGUGUUUUCCUAUGACUCAGUGGUUGUUAGGUUUGAAAACAUUUCAUUAGAGAGAGGAUCUUUGUCAACACUGCCCGGCUGAUGUCAUAUCUCCAAUGACACUGUACACGUCACUACACUCAAUUGGGAAAAUGACAAUGGGAGCAUAGGGGUGCAGUAUAACUACAUGGACUGCUCCACUGCAGCAUGAGAGACUGGGAGGUAACCUGAUCCAGUCUCUGGUCUUCUUGCACUGCCAAGCAGAUAUUACUCUGUCUACAGUUGACGGCCAGCCCAUCCCCACCUGGCUGAAUCUACACUACUCGUUACGACAACAGCUGUAGGAGGCGAACAUCAUUACUCAUGAAUGACACUGAACCUGUUUCCAUGGAUCUGCUGCUCUCUCACUGUCUAUGGCACACCUCUGGAAAAGCCGCCGGCACAUCCGGCUGGAGAACCCUGAAGCACUGGAAUGGGAUUGGGGGGACUAGUGAUGAAGACUACAGGAUGCCUAUCCACCGUGGCCUAGUGUUUUGAUGCCAUCUAUUGGAAUAAUUGACCAAUUUAUCAAGGGGAGUAUACAGAGUGACUACCAACUGAAAUGCUUUCUAUCCUCAUAAUAGAAGUGGUCAAUUAUAAAUAUAUCAGUUACAAUUACUAAAUUCUACCCAACAAACAUUGAGUAAACAUUCAGCUAAUUUUGAUAUCAGAAUGAUUAUAUCUCAACUACUUCUACCAAGUCAAAUUUCAAAUGAUGAAAUGGUGAUAUGAUCGUGAACUAGAGAUAUCUUGAUUUUGCAUGAUGCCAGGUGUUUUUAUAAAGUAAAACAAUAGUUUGGAUCAAUACAAAGCAUAUCUCUUUUCUCCCAAACAUUGGAAAUCACGGAGAACGAAAAUGAAAUACAAAGUGGAUGGUUUCCUGUAUUAAACAAAGGUUGAACUUUUUAUAAAUGUAAACAUGAUAUGAAUAAUGUAAUAACAAUAAAGAUACUGUAAAUUUGAACGAUAUCACAAGAUACUUCAAUUCUUUAUGCACAUAUAUGUCGCUCCAACAAAUUGGGUCAACUCUUGGGUUCACCAGUAUACGGUCUAUAGUUUACCCACCACUGUUGAACAGCACAUAAUACUUAAUGUAUCAUUGUUUUAGAAAUCUUAUCUCCCUCUACUCUAAUCUUACUGCAGGGGGCACUGCAUCCAAACAAAUACACAGCACUCAACUCAUCCCACUCACUUCAAUUACUCCUGAUUAAACACAUCUGUUCCCUGGGAAAGCCCUUCUAUCAGUCCAAACAGGAAC
rnacentral:lncRNA from 8 species